rnacentral:rRNA from 1 species
ACCCGCUGAACUUAAGCAUAUCAAUAAGCGGAGGAAAAGAAACCAACAGGGAUUGCCUUAGUAACGGCGAGUGAAGCGGCAUCAGCUCAAAUUUGAAAUCUGGCGCAAGCCCGAGUUGUAAUUUGUAGAGGAUUAUUCGGCUGCGACUUUGGUCCAAGUCUUCUGGAACGUAACGUCAUAGAGGGUGAGAGUCCCGUACGACUGUAUGUCAACGCCAUGUGAAUAACCUUCAAAGAGUCGAGUUGUUUGGGAAUGCAGCUCUAAUUGGGUGGUAAAUUCCAUCUAAAGCUAAAUAUUGGCCAGAGACCGAUAGCGCACAAGUAGAGUGAUCGAAAGAUGAAAAGCACUUUGGAAAGAGAGUUAAAAGUACUUGAAAUUGUUGAAAGGGAAGCGCUUAUAAUCAGACUUGAUACAAACGUUCCACCUUUCUUUUGGAAGGCUCACUCGUUUCUUCAGGCCAGCAUCAGUUUAAGCAGUUGGACAAAGGUUUUGGGAACGUAGCUCUUCGGAGUAUUAUAGCCCUUUACAUAAUACAACUUGCCUAGACUGAGGACCGCGUAACAUGGAUGUUGGCAUAAUGGUUAUAAGCGGCCCGUCUUGAAACACGG